rnacentral:rRNA from 1 species
UGGGGAAUUUUCCGCAAUGGGCGAAAGCCUGACGGAGUGACGCCGCGUGGGGGACGAAGGCCUUCGGGUCGUAAACCCCUGUCAGAGGGAAAGAAGGGUCGCCUGGCUAAUAUCCAGGUGAUCUGACGGUACCUUCAGAGGAAGCCCCGGCCAACUCUGUGCCAGCAGCCGCGGUAAGACAGAGGGGGCAAGCGUUGCUCGGAAUCACUGGGCGUAAAGGGCGCGUAGGCGGGAUGGCAAGUCGGUCGUGAAAUCCUUCGGCUCAACCGAAGAACGUCGGCCGAUACUGCCGUUCUUGAGGGAUGCAGAGGAGACUGGAAUUCCCGGUGUAGCGGUGAAAUGUGUAGAGAUCGGGAGGAACACCGGUGGCGAAGGCGGGUCUCUGGGCAUUUCCUGACGCUGAGGCGCGAAAGCGUGGGGAGCAAACGGG